rnacentral:rRNA from 1 species
AAUGAACGCUGGCGGCGUGCCUAACACAUGCAAGUCGUACGAGAAAUCUUCUGCUUGCAGAAGAGAGUAAAGUGGCGAACGGGUGAGUAACGCGUGGGUAAUCUACCUCCGAAUCCGGGAUAACCCCGCGAAAGCGGGGCUAAUGCCAGAUGGUAUCUUGCAACUCAGGUUGUCAAGAUUAAAGGUGGCCUCUACAAGUAAGCUACUGUUUGGAGAUGAGCCCGCGUGCCAUUAGCUUGUUGGUAGGGUAAUAGCCUACCAAAGCAACGAUGGCUAGCUGGUCCGAGAGGAUGGUCAGCCACACUGGAACUGAGACACGGCCCAAACUCCUNACGGGAGGCAGCAGUAGGGAAUAUUGGACAAUGGGGGCAACCCUGAUCCAGCAAUGCCGCGUGUGUGAAGAAGGCCUUAGGGUUGUAAAGCACUUUCAAUUGGGAAGAAAAGUUUGUCGUUAAUAGCGGCAAGCUGUGACAUUACCUUUAGAAGGAGCACCGCAAAC